UCCGGUCUUGCGCGCUUGGCGUCCGCGCGUCUCUGAGGCCUGUGCAGGCGGUCGUCGUCCGGGCGAAGCCUGGUAGAGGCGGGUUGUGGGGUUUGUGAGCUGCUGCCUUUGCAGAGAUCCUUGCAUUUUUAAUGCACAUUUUAUGAGGAAGAAUAAUAAAGAGGGAUGAAGACAGGAAAAUGGCAGAUAUUUUUAAACAUGAAGAGUGAUGCAUAACGAUCUGUAAGCUCCUGGUAACCACUAUUCUACUUGCUAUCUCUGGAUUUCACUACUCUAGUUAUUACCUCAUUAGCAAGACUCUGUACAAAGGAAAUCUGUCUGGAUGCCCAAUGUGGAAGAGGUAUAGCUGCUGUGCUUGCUUUGAAGGUGGACUUUCUCUCCCCCUGUGUGGCUAUACUGGAGGUGGCUCUAAACUUCUGUGUCUUUUUUUUAACUUCUCUAAUUUUUUUUAGGCAAAGUUGGAUAAUGUGUUAAUAGGACAAGGGAAGAAGGAGCAGAAAGAGGUAAAGACAUGAUAGCAAAUUAACAGAUCUCAGGCGAUGCUUUUCCACAUCAAAAAGGAAGAUAAAAGAUAUUAUAGAAGAUUUUAGUAAAUUCUUUCAACCAGAAGUCUUACAGAUUAUAACAUGAAAUUACAUGAAGUUGUGUGUGCCAUCUUCAAAAGAAUAACAUUAUAGUACCUUCAGUGGAUACUGUUUUGGCCAGGUGACCCUUGCAGGUUAAGGAAUCAGGUGAAUAUCCAGGGGCCUGGCUUUUCCUGCUAGUGUAGAUAGUACGAGUUUCCACUGCUACAGUAGUUCAUUUUAUUGCUAUCUUAUUUCUGUCACAGGCCCUGUGAGCUUGGUUGGGCCAAGGGUCACUCAGAAAAUAACCAGCUUCCACUUUCUUUAAUUAUGCAAACUAGAGCUAGGUGACUGAGAUCUUGCCUUUGGUCUGCAAGACAUAGGGAGUUUUGCAAGCCCUAGGGGAGUGCAGAAUUUCCUGAAGAUGUUGCAAGGUGGCCGGCUUUCUUCUGAAGUCAUGCAAUAUUCUCCUUUGCUUUGGUUAUGACUGCGAAGGUGCUGGGAAGCCAACUGCAAACUAACACCUUGGAGUGGACUUCUCUCCACAGGCCCCAGAAGUGAGGCCUGCUCCUUUAAAGGGAAUGGCUCAAUGUAGGUGCUCUCAUACCAACGAAGAACAGAAUGUGUUUGUCCAAUUCCACCUCCCAGUUACUUCAUUGGCAGUAAGUUCUCUAAAAUAUGAGCGUUUUUGCUGAGGGAAGGACAUGCAAAGACUUGAAAAUUUUAGAGAGCAGAGAGCUAGAUGGCUCAGAUUUUAUGAAAGUUCCUGUCCUGCUACUUUACUUUGGAAAUGGACAUAGGAAUCCCCAGAGAAAGCAUGUUUCAUUGAGGAAGAACAAAUUUCAUCAGAGAAUUUUAUCAGCGGCCUUACAGGGCAUCCCUAGCCAGCCAUGGGUCCACACC